rnacentral:rRNA from 1 species
AAUAGAUACCCAGGUAGUCCAUGCCGUAAACGUUGGGCACUAGGUGUGGGGGACAUUCCACGUUUUCCGCGCCGUAGCUAACGCAUUAAGUGCCCCGCCUGGGGAGUACGGCCGCAAGGCUAAAACUCAAAGGAAUUGACGGGGGCCCGCACAAGCGGCGGAGCAUGCGGAUUAAUUCGAUGCAACGCGAAGAACCUUACCAAGGCUUGACAUGAACCGGACCGCUGCAGAAAUGUGGUUUCCCCUUUGGGGCUGGUUUACAGGUGGUGCAUGGUUGUCGUCAGCUCGUGUCGUGAGAUGUUGGGUUAAGUCCCGCAACGAGCGCAACCCUCGUUCUAUGUUGCCAGCACGUGAUGGUGGGGACUCAUAGGAGACUGCCGGGGUCAACUCGGAGGAAGGUGGGGACGACGUCAAAGUCAUCAUGCCCCUUAUGUCUUGGGCUUCACGCAUGCUACAAUGGCCGGUACAAAGGGUUGCGAUACUGUGAGGUGGAGCUAAUCCCAAAAAGCCGGUCUCAGUUCGGAUUGGGGUCUGCAACUCGACCCC